rnacentral:rRNA from 1 species
ACUCAAUAGAUACCCGGGUAGUCCACGCCGUAAACUAUGGAUGCUAGCUGUUAUCGGUAUCGACCCCGGUAGUAGCGAAAGCUAAACGCGUUAAGCAUCCCGCCUGUGGAGUACGAGCGCAAGCUUAAAACAUAAAGGAAUUGACGGGGACCCGCACAAGCGGUGGAGCGUGUUGUUUAAUUCGACGGUAAACGAAGAACCUUACCCAGGCUUGACAUCCUGCUAAGAUUUCCGAAAGGAAAUUGUGCCUUCGGGCCGCAGUGACAGGUGCUGCAUGGUCGUCGUCAGCUCGUGUCGUGAGAUGUUUGGUUAAGUCCAUCAACGAGCGCAACCCUUAUAGUCAGUUGGAUUUUCUGGCUAGACUGCCCCGGUAACGGGGAGGAAGGAGGGGAUGAUGUCAGAUCAUUAUUGCCCUUACGUCUGGGGCUACAAACACGCUACAAUGGCCGGUACAAAGGGCAGCCAACCCGCGAGGGGAGCAAAUCCCAUCAAAGCCGGUCUCAGUUCGGAUUGUAGGCUGAAACUCGCCUGCAUGAAGCUGGAAUC